rnacentral:rRNA from 1 species
GACGAACGCUGGCGGCGUGCUUAACGCAUGCAAGUCGAACGAAGAGCGAUGGAAGCUUGCUUCUAUCAAUCUUAGUGGCGAACGGGUGAGUAACGCGUAAUCAACCUGCCCUUCAGAGGGGGACAACAGUUGGAAACGACUGCUAAUACCGCAUACGAUCUAAUCUCGGCAUCGAGGAUAGAUGAAAGGUGGCUUCUACAUGUAAGCUAUCACUGAAGGAGGGGAUUGCGUCUGAUUAGCUAGUUGGAGGGGUAACGGCCCACCAAGGCGAUGAUCAGUAGCCGGUCUGAGAGGAUGAACGGCCACAUUGGGACUGAGACACGGCCCAGACUCCUACGGGAGGCAGCAGUGGGGAAUCUUCCGCAAUGGACGAAAGUCUGACGGAGCAACGCCGCGUGAGUGAUGACGGCCUUCGGGUUGUAAAGCUCUGUUAAUCGGGACGAAAGGCCUUCUUGCGAACAGUUAG